rnacentral:rRNA from 1 species
GGCGGCAGGCUUAACACAUGCAAGUCGAACGCAUCCUUCGGGAUGAGUGGCAGACGGGUGAGUAACACGUGGGAACGUACCCUUUGGUUCGGAAUAACACAGGGAAACUUGUGCUAAUACCGGAUACGCCCUUUUGGGGAAAGGUUUACUGCCGAAGGAUCGGCCCGCGUCUGAUUAGCUAGUUGGUGGGGUAACGGCCUACCAAGGCGACGAUCAGUAGCUGGUCUGAGAGGAUGAUCAGCCACACUGGGACUGAGACACGGCCCAGACUCCUACGGGAGGCAGCAGUGGGGAAUAUUGGACAAUGGGCGCAAGCCUGAUCCAGCCAUGCCGCGUGAGUGAUGAAGGCCUUAGGGUUGUAAAGCUCUUUUGUCCGGGACGAUAAUGACGGUACCGGAAGAAUAAGCCCCGGCUAACUUCGUGCCAGCAGCCGCGGUAAUACGAAGGGGGCUAGCGUUGCUCGGAAUCACUGGGCGUAAAGGGCGCGUAGGCGGCCAUGUAAGUUGGGGGUGAAAGCCCGUGGCUCAACCACAGAAUUGCCUUCGAUACUGGGUGGCUUGAGACCCGGAAGAGGUUAGUGGAACUGCGAGUGUAAGGUGAAAUUCGUAGAUAUUCGC